GCUGGGCGUGGUGGCAUGCGCCUGUAGUCCCAGCUACUCCGGAGGCUGAGGCAGGAGAAUCGCUUGAACCCAGGAGGUGGAGGUUGCAGUGAGCCGAGAUCACGCCACUGCACUCCAGCCUGGGUGACAUGGCGAGACUCUGUCUCAA
rnacentral:SRP_RNA from 2 species